GGCGGCGGCGCGCGGGCGCGGCGGGGUACGUGGUGCGCGGGGCGGCCGCGGUGGAAAUGUGGGAGGAAAGCGGAAAGCUGACGGCUACAGCCAGCCAGAUUCCAAGCGCCGCCAGACCAAUAGUCAGAACUGGGGCUCCCAACCCAUUGCUCAGCAGCCGCUCCAUGGCGGGGACCAUGCUGGUAACUAUUCCGGGUACAAAUCUGACAACCAGGAAUUUUAUCAGGAUUCUUUUGGGCAGCAGUGGAAGUGAAACCAGUGAAACCAGUAGCGCUCUAAAACAAACCGCUGCUGGUUACAGACUCGAUCUGAUUGGUUGCCUGCAGGUUUUCCUCCAAAUUGGUGACAUCUGGCAAGAUCUGUGUACAUAUUUUAAAAUCAGCUUGGACUCCAAACAUAACCCCACCCCCACCUGUUUCUGGCGAACUGCUCUUCUUCUUCCCUUUGUUUUGACCACUUUUAAAGGCCGUUUUUUAGAGGCAGAUUUGUGCUGCAGCUCAAGCUUUCUGUAUGUUUUUACACUCUGGUUUCCAUGUUUUGAGUAGCUAACAGCAACAAAGCGUUUGUCUCCUAAACAUGUAUUUAAAGCGCUGAAAUGACGAUUUGUAUUGCGUGUGUUGUUCCUGAGAAGAACCAGAGGACCCAGCAGUCCUGUUCGGCUUGUAUUCUCUGCUGUUUGUCUGCUUUAAUAAACAUACACACACUCGUGUACAAAAACUACUUCAAAUUGUGUUAAAUUCAUGUUUGGGCAAAUUCUCUCUUCAAAUUUCCUUCAAAUUUAAGGCUCCUUGUGGAAGAAAUGGACUGAAGGUUUGCCAGGGUUGGCCCCGUGCUCCAGCGUCACCUUGCAUGCCAUCAGAUCCCAGAUCACCUACUCCUGUAUGUGUAGUGACAUACUCCAUCCUUAUCAGUUCCUCUCAUGUCCAAAAACAUAAAUGUCUCACAAAUUGGUGUCCUAAAUUCACUGGACGCAGCAUCAACAGCUGAGGGGGGGGGAGUCGAAGCACAAUUUGAUUUUAGUCUGAGCGAAGCUUUUCUUGUCCCAGAAGGAUCUUCCUCGCUGUUUCCCUGCUGGAUUUUAACCGCAGUGGUGGGACCGCUAACCGGCAAGCUAGCUGCGCUAAGCACAUUAGCCACGCCGCAUUCAGUGGACGCUAACGCCGAACACUGCAGCCGCGAGCAUCAAGUUCAUUUAGACGUUUUCUGUAAUGCGCUUUGACUUUGUUUGCUUUUUAUUAAACUUCAUUAUAAGUAUUUGUUGACUAACUUCGUAAUGAUCCAAGAAUAAAAUUGGAAUUUACGUCAAAGUAAUAAAAAGAUUGUAAUAAUGCAAUAAUAAUGUAAUAUUACCAAAAUAAAUUCGUGGUGAUGUAAUAUUACAACUAAUAUCCUUGUAAUGUAGCAAGAAUUUGUAAUAAUAUAAGAAAGUCGCAAUAUUACGAGAAAAAAUUAAGAAAAUAAAUGUUAUUUCUGAGAAUUAAACGAAUAAAGUCACCAUUCGCAAAAAAUCUUAAUAUAAAAAAGUCAAGACGUGAAUAAAGUCGUAGAAUACAAGAAAUUCGUAAUAAUACUUAAGUAAAGUCGAAGCUAAGUUUGCUACAUGAUUUCAAAGUUCACUAAAACGCUAAGGUAAUAGUUAGCACCGCUAUUAGCGCAUUAGCGGAAGCGUGCCCACCACUGCUAACCCUGCAUGUGCUGCUGCUUCUUUGCAUGACUCACCUGAGCGUCAAUCUAUCCAGUCUAGCUCUAUGGCUGCUCACCUGUCCGCUCCCUGCUGUCUUAGCGUCUCCUGCUAGCGCGUCCUGCUAGCGCGUCCUGCUAGCGUGUCGUGGGCAUUAACACAUGCAUGCGCUGUCAGGCUGUGAAUGCUCCCUGCUGCAGCAGAUGAUGAGUGUAGAUGUGCAGCGUCUCGUUUCCGUCUCUAAUUCUUCCUUUUGUUACCCGACUAGCAGGAAAAAGGGCCGGAGGUCGCCGCUGACGAGUCGCUGUGAGGCCGGGCCGGGCGGCGCCCCCUGCUGGAGGGAAUGACGGACUCGAUGAUCUGGGAUCAGCGCCGAGCCGUUCCAGCCGACCGCUAACUACCUCAGAGGACCAGAGUCCAGACCGGACGGCGCCGGAGGUUCGCCCCGGCCCAGGCCGUCCUCAGGCCUCCGGUUCUGGCCCAGAGGAGGGGACCCAACGGACCCCGGCGUGAGUCCAUCAGGCGCCAAGCAGAAGUUAGUCAAACAUGUUUAUCAGAACCGCCUCGAAUGGACCCAGACCUCCAUCAGAGCAGCACAAAACUCAAACUUUUAACAAAUUUGGCGACUAGAAGUCCUGGUUUCUCCCAGGACAUAAAUAACCCGACUGGUUUCAUUUACACCAGGAAACAUUCUGAAUAAAACUAGAAAACGUUGGAGCUAACAUUUUCAAAGUUAGCUAAAGCUAAAAGCUAGCCCUGCUAUUAGCAUCAUGUACUUAUUCAACGUGCUUAAAAAGCAAAUUAUCUGACGUCGUCAUAUUUUUCACGUAAAUGUAAAAUAAAUUUAUCAAGUGGAUCAUUUUUAAAUCCGUUUCCUCAGAUCAGAAACUGAUCAAAUUUUAACGGAUUUUAACAAAAAUCACUGCAAAGCUCCAUUUUCUGAUUUUUAUUUCUCACCCUGAAUGCCUCGUUAGCCCAGCUCUAGAACCGGACCGGCGGUCAGAACCGGGUUCUGGUUCCUAAUGAUCCGGCUCCACUCUGCCGGGUCGCUGGUUCCCCAGCUGAGGAUGGGGUUGCCAUGGCAACAGAUGGAGCUGCAGCCUGAAGGUCGUCGGGUUCAUUCGGUUCUGUUCCGGAGCGGUCACAUGACCCGACCCACACUCCCUCUGCAGACCCGGUUCCGGUCCAGAGCCAGAACCGUUUGGGUCAGAAAGCUGGCCUGGCUUCCUUUGGUGGCUCAGAGGUGAAAGGCAUUGUGGGAGAUGUAGUCGAGCACAGGAUGGUGUUGCUGCUUUUCUGCCAUUAAACAGAAUCUGGACCGAGGUUCUGGUCGGAUUCUGAUGAGCUGCUUUCAGAGAGU